rnacentral:tRNA from 1 species
AACCGCUAUCUAAUGUUUUGAAAACAUAAAAAAAGUAUUAAAUAUACUUAUCGGUUU